rnacentral:lncRNA from 1 species
GAGAGGGAGUCUCCUUUCCUUGGAGGAGUCAGGGAAAACUCUGCUCCAGCAGCUUCUGGUGGGAGGCUGGAUAUUAUCCAGGCCUGCGCGCAGUCAUCCGGAGGCCUAAACCCCUCCCUGUGGUGCUGUGCUUCAAUGGUCACUCUCCUUGUCCACUUUCAUGUUCCUCCCAUACUCCUGGUUCCUCUUUGAAGUUCGUAGUAGAUAGCGGUAGCAGAAAUGGUGACAGUCUUAAAGUCUUUGAUCUUUCUUAUAAGUGCAUAGAAGAAAACACUGACCUAUGCUGCCUUCUCUCUGUGUGCUUUGGCUACCUAAGAAGGAAGGGCCACCUGUCCUGUGAUCAUGUGACUUGCUUCACCUUGUCAAUCACUUAGAAGAUUCACCCUCCUUACCCUGCCCCCUUGUCUUAUAUGCAAUAAAUAUCAGUGUGUCCAGCCGUUCAGGGCCACUACCAGUCUAUGCGUCUUAAUGGUAGUGGUCCCCGGGUCCAGCUCUUUUCUCUUAAUCGUUUUGUCUUGUGUCUUUAUUUAUUACAAUCUCUCAUCUCUGCACACCAGGAGAACACCCGCCAAGCUCCGUAGGGCUGGACCCUAUAUUUCUGUAAUAUGGAAAUAUUAAUAGUGGCAAGCCCACAUAGCUGCCACGAGGACUUCAUACAAUAAUGAAGGUAUGCGUUUUUGGACAUCCUUUUAUUGGAGAGCUGAAAGAGAAGGCUACCAUCUUUGGACGCCCUUUUACUGGAGAGCUGAAAGAGAAGGCUACUGAGAAGAUAUUUUUAAAGGAAUCUCAUCAAACAACCAGGGAGGAUCAACCACCAGAGAAAAGAAGAGACUGGGAGUCAUCACCAUGUCCCCAACAGAAUUUUCAUCUAUCCUUCUGAGGACAGCUCCAAGUGAUUACCUAGAGGACUUUGCUUCAUAAUAAGUCAACCUUCAUUCCUGUGCAGCCCCACCUCUCACCUUCCCAAAAUGUCUGCCUCCCAUCUUCUGGGUCCAUUCAUUCUCUCAAAUGAUUUGCUGCCCCUCAAAAGAAUUUUCCACGUUCCUCAUCUCUCCCCUCCCCUGGGAAAAAGCAUAUAUAAGCUUCUAUACCACCCUGGGUUAUUGGGUAAUCAUUCUCCAGCAAUUCUCCCAUCCUGUGCACAUCAAAUAAAUUCUGUAUGCGUUUUCUUUUAUUAAUGUGCUUUUUGUCUGUUGAUUUUCAGUGAGUCUUUAGAGGGCAAAGGGGAAAUUUUCUCCCUGCAAGAGUCUUAUUAUCCGAGUGUCUCUGCAAGCAGCACGUGGG